UAAUACGUAGGUGGCGAGCGUUAUCCGGAAUUAUUGGGCGUAAAGAGGGAGCAGGCGGCACUAAGGGUCUGUGGUGAAAGAUCGAAGCUUAACUUCGGUAAGCCAUGGAAACCGUAGAGCUAGAGUGUGUGAGAGGAUCGUGGAAUUCCAUGUGUAGCGGUGAAAUGCGUAGAUAUAUGGAGGAACACCAGUGGCGAAGGCGACGAUCUGGCGCAUAACUGACGCUCAGUCCCGAAAGCGUGGGGAGCAAAUAGGAUUAGAUACCCUAGUAGUCCACGCCGUAAACGAUGAGUACUAAGUGUUGGGAGUCAAAUCUCAGUGCUGCAGUUAACGCAAUAAGUACUCCGCCUGAGUAGUACGUUCGCAAGAAUG
rnacentral:rRNA from 1 species